ACAUUUCUGUAAGUGUGUAGGUAGGUGGCCGGUACGUUCACUGUGAAAAAAUUAGAGUGCUCAGAGCGAGCCCCGCUGGCUUGCAUACGAAAAGCA